rnacentral:rRNA from 1 species
GUCUAUGAUCAUAGUACCUUGAAUGCAACCAAUCCGAUCUGAUCUUUAGAUUAUAAGUGAGAUCAGGCCUGGUUAGAACUUGGAUGGGAGCCACGGAGAAUCUGCACUUAUGACA